AGGAAUAUCAACAGUAGAGAUAUUUUUAUAGCUAUAAAAGAACAGCUAUAAAAACCUGACAUCACUGAGUAAUUCAGCUUUGAUCAGAUGGAACUUAUAUGCAGAGGCUUAAAGUUCAAGAUCAAAGUGUGUCAGCCAGUUUGGUUCCUUCUGAGAGCUGUGAAGGAAGUGCGUCCAGAGUUUGUUCCUGCCGGUGGGUUCGUGGUCUCACUGACAUCAAGAAUGAAGCCACAGACCUUCAUGGGGAACCAAAGGAAGCAUCUGUAAGGACCAGCUGUACAAAUGGGUGCCUGUUCAAUGGGAUUGCUUGUCUAAACUGUGAAAUAGAAUAAUUGAUUGAAAUCGAGAGUUACUUUUGGCUAAGGAUUUGUCUAAAACACCAAAAGCAAUGGCAACAAAAGCCAAAAUUGACAAAUGAGAUCUAAUUAAACUAAAGAGCUUCUGCACAGCAAAGGAAACUACCAUCAGAGUGAACAGGCAACCUACAGAAUGGGAGAAAAUUUUUGCAAUCUGCUCAUCUGACAAAGGGCUAAUAUCCAGAAUCUACAAAGAACUCAAACAAAUUUACAAGAAAAAAACAAACAACCCCAUCAACAAGUGGGCAAAGUAUAUGAACAGACAUUUCUCAAAAGAAGACAUUUAUGCAGCCAACAGACACAUGAAAAAAUGCUCAUCACCACUGGCCAUCAGAGAAAAGCAAAUCAAAACCACAAUGAGAUACCAUCUCACACCAGUUAGAAUGGUGAUCAUUAAAAAGUCAGGAAACAACAGGUGCUGGAGAGGAUGUGGAGAAAUAGGAACACUUUUACACUGUUGGUGGGACUGUAAACUAGUUCAACCAUUGUGGAAGGCAGUGUGGCGAUUCCUCAAGGAUCUAGAACUAGAAAUACCAUUUGACCCAGCCAUCCCAUUAUUGGGUAUAUACCCAAAGGAUUAUAAAUCAUGCUGCUACAAAGACACGUGCACACAUAUGUUUAUUGCAGCACUAUUCACGAUAGCAAAGACUUGGAACCAACCC
rnacentral:lncRNA from 10 species